AAGUCGUAACAAGGUUUCCGUAGGUGAACCUGCGGAAGGAUCAUUAUUGAAUUGAACUGCUAUGGGUUGUUGCUGGUUCCCCUUCUGGGGCUCAUGUGCACGCUCUGGCCCUUCAUUUUCCACCUGUGCACUUUUGUAGGCAGCUCUGCGCCUCGGUUGAUCGUCUGCUCUCACGCGUCUUUGGCGUUGUGGUUGGGAACUUGGUCCUCUUGGACCUCGUUCUGGGACUUUUGGCCUUGCAGGGAGUUGUCUACGUCUUUAUAACACGUUUGUAUGUCUAGAAAGUCCAUUAUCGGUCGGAAGACCUUUAAUCUUACA
rnacentral:misc_RNA from 1 species